ACCCAGCUGAUGAGUCCCGAAUAGGAUGAAACGCGCAUCCUAUAU
rfam:Schistosoma curassoni strain Dakar, Senegal genome assembly, scaffold: SCTD_scaffold0001265